rnacentral:rRNA from 1 species
GACGAACGCUGGCGGCGUGCUUAACACAUGCAAGUCGAACGGUGAAGGGACUGGUUUUGCUGGUCCUGGAUGAGUGGCGAACGGGUGAGUAACACGUGAGUAACCUGCCCCCUUCUUCUGGAUAACCGCAUGAAAGUGUGGCUAAUACGGGAUAUUCUGGGUCUGUCGCAUGGUGGGCCUGGGAAAGAUUGCGCCUUUUUUGGUGUUUUUGGUGGGGGAUGGGCUCGCGGCCUAUCAGCUUGUUGGUGGGGUGAUGGCCUACCAAGGCGGUGACGGGUAGCCGGCCUGAGAGGGUGGACGGUCACACUGGGACUGAGACACGGCCCAGACUCCUACGGGAGGCAGCAGUGGGGAAUAUUGCACAAUGGGCGCAAGCCUGAUGCAGCGACGCCGCGUGAGGGAUGGAGGCCUUCGGGUUGUGAACCUCUUUCGCCAGUGAAGCAGGCCUGCCCCUUUUUGUGGGUGGGUUGACGGUAGCUGGAUAAGAAGCGCCGGCUAACUACGUG